GGGAGCAGGUGUGAUCGUCGCGAGACCUUCGCUACGCGGAGGCUUCGAGGAAAGUCCGAGCUCCAUAGGACGGGGUGCUGGGUAACUCCCAGUGGGAGCGAUCCCAAGGAAAGUGCAACAGAAAGUAGACCGCCACGGUUCUGGACCCUCGCCGCUCGCACGUCGGGAGGCAGGUGCGCGGAGAAGGUCCAGGAUCGUGGUAAGGGUGAAACGGUGAGGUAAGAGCUCACCAGUGUCGUCGGUGACGCCGGCAGCUCGGCAAACCCCACCCGGAGCAAGACCGAAUAGAGGAGGAGAGGUGGUCCGCCUCGCCAAAACUCCUGGGUUGGUCGCUCGAGGCGGACGGAAACGUCCGUCCUAGACAAAUGACGGUCCCCGGUCGACCCGGAUCCUGCCCGGAGGCGCGUCGGCACCGGUCGGCGGCGUUCGGGGAAGAUCCGGGACCCGAACCGGGAACAGAACUCGGCUUACGGCUUGCUCCCCAUC
rnacentral:RNase_P_RNA from 1 species